GAUGAACGCUGGCGGCGUGCCUAAUACAUGCAAGUCGAGCGAACAGACGAGGAGCUUGCUCCUCUGACGUUAGCGGCGGACGGGUGAGUAACACGUGGAUAACCUACCUAUAAGACUGGGAUAACUUCGGGAAACCGGAGCUAAUACCGGAUAAUAUAUUGAACCGCAUGGUUCAAUAGUGAAAUACGGUUUUGCUGUCACUUAUAGAUGGAUCCGCGCCGCAUUAGCUAGUUGGUAAGGUAACGGCUUACCAAGGCAACUAUGCGUAGCCGACCUGAGAGAGUGAUAGGCCACACUGGAGCUGAGACACGGUCCAGACUCCUACGGGAGGCAGCAGUAGGGAAUGUUCCGCAAUAGGCGAAAGCUUGACGGAGCAACGCCGCGUGAGUGAUGAAGGUCUUCGGAUCGUAAAACUCUGUUAUUAGGGAAGAACAAAUGUGUAAGUAACUAUGCACGUCUUGACGGUACCUAAUCAGAAAGCCACGGCUAACUACGUG
rnacentral:rRNA from 1 species